rnacentral:rRNA from 1 species
GAUGAACGCUGGCGGCGUGCCUAAUACAUGCAAGUCGAACGAAACUUCUUUAUCACCGAGUGCUUGCACUCACCGAUAAAGAGUUGAGUGGCGAACGGGUGAGUAACACGUGGGCAACCUGCCCAAAAGAGGGGGAUAGCACUUGGAAACAGGUGCUAAUACCGCAUAACCAUAGUUACCGCAUGGUAACUAUGUAAAAGGUGGCUAUACUACCGCUUUUGGAUGGGCCCGCGGCGCAUUAGCUAGUUGGUAGGGUAAAGGCUUACCAAGGCAAUGAUGCGUAGCCGAAUUGAGAGGUUGAUCGGCCACAUUGGGACUGAGACACGGCCCAAACUCCUACGGGAGGCAGCAGUAGGGAAUCUUCCACAAUGGGCGAAAGCCUGAUGGAGCAACGCCGCGUGGGUGAAGAAGGUCUUCGGAUCGUAAAACCCUGUUGUUAGAGAAGAAAGUGCGUGAGAGUAACUGUUCACGUUUCGACGGUAUCUAACCAGAAAGCCACGGCUAACUACGUG